UACAGAGGGUGCGAGCGUUAAUCGGAAUUACUGGGCGUAAAGCGCACGUGGGCGGCUUGGUAUGUCGGGUGUGAAAUCCCCGGGCUCAACCUGGGAACUGCAUCCGAAACUGCCUUGCUAGAGUAUGGGAGAGGGAAGUGGAAUUUCCGGUGUAGCGGUGAAAUGCGUAGAUAUCGGAAGGAACAUCAGUGGCGAAGGCGACUUCCUGGACCAAUACUGACGCUGAGGCGCGAAAGCGUGGGGAGCGAACAGG
rnacentral:rRNA from 1 species